AUGAGCUACAAUCUGAAAUUUAGCUGGAUUGACACCAUGGCUGACAACUAUCUUCCUCCUCUUAAUACUUACUUGGUAUGCAUCUACUGCUUGAAACUUUUGCGUGGCCUAGUACAAUAAACAUUAUAGAUAGAGAUGAGGCAGAUUAUCAUUGUGUCGGUUGUUAGUUUAUAUUGUUAUUUCACCAGCAUGCGCGCACGCACUUCAUCCUGCGUUUCAUCCCCACACAUGCAUGUAUAUAUGUAUAUACUUAUAUAUGUUUUUCCAGAUGGAGCAAGCUUGGUUUUGGUCAAGUAAGUUCUCUAUAUCCUAAAUGGCAGCUCCUGUUUCCAGGUUGUUUCUGUCAUGUCUAUGUGGACGAGGAUGCAGCCUGCUUAUGCUGCAAACAUGUGGAAUGAAGCUCUCAACAAGCGGCUGGGGACAGAGGUAAUUAUGCUUUACUUGAGGUUUUUCAUUUUACUUUUGGUGUCUAUUAAAUCAACUUAUUUAAAAUCGUAAGCCAUGCCAUUUUGUUCUGUUUUGUUUAUUUGGGAAUGAACACGAAUGUCUGCUCUUAGAAUUCUGAAUGCCCUAAGCAUCUUCGAAAUGAAUCAAAGGAUGGUUUAACAAUUAAUCAACCGACUGUAAUUAAAAACAAAUGUAAAAGGUCAUAAAAAUGACAAUUUAUAAAUGUGGUAAUUUCUCUUUUUCGACUCAGAUUAAAGACAACUUUAGACAAUAUAAACAUUUUUUAAAAGUCAUUAUUUAACCUUCUGUCUGUCUUCACACGAUCUCUCCUCCACCAGCAGCAGGAGCAGCAGCAGCAGCAGCAGCAUCAGCACUAG
rnacentral:lncRNA from 1 species